UACGAAGGUGGCAAGCGUUGUUCGGAUUUACUGGGCGUACAGGGAGCGUAGGCGGUUCGGUAAGCCCUCUGUGAAAUCUCCAGGCUUAACCUGGAACAGUCGGAGGGGACUGCUGGGCUAGAGGACGGGAGAGGAGCGCGGAAUUCCCGGUGUAGCGGUGAAAUGCGUAGAGAUCGGGAGGAAGGCCGGUGGCGAAGGCGGCGCUCUGGGCAUUACCUGACGCUGAGGAGCGAAAGUGUGGGGAGCGAACAGG
rnacentral:rRNA from 1 species